rnacentral:SRP_RNA from 1 species
GUCUAGUGCACUCGUACUUGUGCUUAGGACAACUGGUCAGGUCCGGAAGGAAGCAGCCAAUCUUAGGUUAUAAGGUACCGAGCCCGUGUUAGACUCC